UGGAGUAUGUGGUUUAAUUCGACGCAACGCGCAGAACCUUACCUACCCUUGACAUGUCCGGAACUUGCCAGAGAUGGCUUGGUGCCCGAAAGGGAAUCGGAACACAGGUGCUGCAUGGCUGUCGUCAGCUCGUGUCGUGAGAUGUUGGGUUAAGUCCCGCAACGAGCGCAACCCUUAUCAUUAGUUGCUACGCAAGGGCACUCUAAUGAGACUGCCGGUGACAAACCGGAGGAAGGUGGGGAUGACGUCAAGUCCUCAUGGCCCUUAUGGGUAGGGCUUCACACGUCAUACAAUGGUCGGUACAGAGGGUUGCCAACCCGCGAGGGGGAGCUAAUCCCACAAAGCCGAUCGUAGUCCGGAUCGCAGUCUGCAACUCGACUGCGUGAAGUCGGAAUCGCUAGUAAUCGUGGAUCAGCAUGUCACGGUGAAUACGUUCCCGGGUCUU
rnacentral:rRNA from 1 species